rnacentral:rRNA from 1 species
CGAACGCUGGCGGCGUGCUUAACACAUGCAAGUCGAACGGAAAGGCCCUGCUUUUGUGGGGUGCUCGAGUGGCGAACGGGUGAGUAACACGUGAGUAACCUGCCCUUGACUUUGGGAUAACUUCAGGAAACUGGGGCUAAUACCGGAUAGGAGCUCCUGCUGCAUGGUGGGGGUUGGAAAGUUUCGGCGGUUGGGGAUGGACUCGCGGCUUAUCAGCUUGUUGGUGGGGUAGUGGCUUACCAAGGCUUUGACGGGUAGCCGGCCUGAGAGGGUGACCGGCCACAUUGGGACUGAGAUACGGCCCAGACUCCUACGGGAGGCAGCAGUGGGGAAUAUUGCACAAUGGGCGGAAGCCUGAUGCAGCAACGCCGCGUGCGGGAUGGCGGCCUUCGGGUUGUAAACCGCUUUCGCCUGUGACGAAGCGUGAGUGACGGUAAUGGGUAAAGAAGCACCGGCUAACUACGUG